UGCCACAGCCACAUCACUCUGCAGCCCCAGCCAUAUCACCCUGCAGGUUACUCACUGAAGCUAAGCAGGGCUGAGCCUGGUUGGUACCUGGAUGGGAGACCACUAGUGAACACUAGGUUGCUGUUGGAA
ensembl:rRNA 5S_rRNA 5S ribosomal RNA